AAGGACAAGCUGUGAUGGGGAGCGAAAUUUAGUAGCGAAGUUCCUGAUGUCACACUGCCAAGAAAAGCUUCUAGUGAGAAAGUAACUGCCCGUACCGCAAACCGACACAGGUAGUUGAGGAGAGAAUCCUAAGGUGUGCGAGAGAACUCUCGUUAAGGAACUCGGCAAAAUGACCCCGUAACUUCGGGAGAAGGGGUGCUGACCGCAAGGUCAGCCGCAGUGAAUAGGCCCAAGCGACUGUUUAUCAAAAACACAGGUCUCUGCAAAAUCGAAAGAUGACGUAUAGGGGCUGACGCCUGCCCGGUGCUGGAAGGUUAAGAGGAGAGGUUAGCGCAAGCGAAGCUUUGAAUUGAAGCCCCAGUAAACGGCGGCCGUAACUAUAACGGUCCUAAGGUAGCGAAAUUCCUUGUCGGGUAAGUUCCGACCCGCACGAAAGGCGUAACGAUUUGGGCACUGUCUCAACGAGAGACUCGGUGAAAUUAUAGUACCAGUGAAGAUGCUGGUUACCCGCGACAGGACGGAAAGACCCCAUGGAGCUUUACUGCAGUUUGAUAUUGCGUUUUGUAUCACAUGUACAGGAUAGGUAGGAGCCGAAGAUACCGGGACGCCAGUCUCGGAGGAGGCAACGGUGGGAUACUACCCUUGUGAUAUGACCACUCUAACCCGCUGCUCUUAGCGAGCAGGGAGACAGUGUCAGACGGGCAGUUUGACUGGGGCGGUCGCCUCCAAAAAUGUAACGGAGGCGCCCAAAGGUUCCCUCAGAAUGGUUGGAAAUCAUUCGUAGAGUGUAAAGGCAGAAGGGAGCUUGACUGCGAGACCUACAAGACGAGCAGGGACGAAAGUCGGGCUUAGUGAUCCGGUGGUUCCGCAUGGAAGGGCCAUCGCUCAACGGAUAAAAGCUACCCUGGGGAUAACAGGCUUAUCUCCCCCAAGAGUUCACAUCGACGGGGAGGUUUGGCACCUCGAUGUCGGCUCAUCGCAUCCUGGGGCUGUAGUCGGUCCCAAGGGUUGGGCUGUUCGCCCAUUAAAGCGGUACGCGAGCUGGGUUCAGAACGUCGUGAGACAGUUCGGUCCCUAUCCGUCGCGGGCGUUGGAAAUUUGAGAGGAGCUGUCCUUAGUACGAGAGGACCGGGAUGGACACACCGCUGGUGUACCAGUUGUUCUGCCAAGAGCAUCGCUGGGUAGCUAUGUGUGGACGGGAUAAACGCUGAAAGCAUCUAAGCGUGAAACCCCCCUCAAGAUGAGAUUUCCCAUCACUUUAAGUGAGUAAGACCCCUGAGAGAUGAUCAGGUAGAUAGGUUGGGAGUGGAAGUACAGCGAUGUAUGCAGCGGACCAAUACUAAUCGGUCGAGGACUUAACC
rnacentral:rRNA from 1 species